UACAGAGGGUGCAAGCGUUGUUCGGAUUUACUGGGCGUAAAGCGUGCGUAGGCGGUAUUGAGAGUCGCGGGUGAAAUCCCAGGGCUUAACCCUGGAACUGCCUGCGAGACCUCAGUACUAGAGUGUGAGAGGGGAUGGUGGAAUGCCAAGUGUAGCGGUGAAAUGCGUAGAGAUUUGGCGGAACACCGGUGGCGAAGGCGACCAUCUGGCUCACAACUGACGCUCAGGCACGAAAGCAUGGGGAGCAAACAGG
rnacentral:rRNA from 1 species